AAUAGAUACCCAGGUAGUCCACGCCGUAAAUGGUGGGCACUAGGGUGUGGGCGACAUUCCACGUCGUCCGUGCCGCAGCUAACGCAUUAAGUGCCCCGCCUGGGGAGUACGGCCGCAAGGCUAAAACGUCAAAGGAAUUGACGGGGGGCCCGCACAAGCGGCGGAGCAUGUGGCUUAAUUCGACGCAACGCGAAGAACCUUACCAAGGCUUGACAUACACCGGAAAACCCUGGAGACAGGGUCCCCCUUGUGGUCGGUGUACAGGUGGUGCAUGGCUGUCGUCAGCUCGUGUCGUGAGAUGUUGGGUUAAGUCCCGCAACGAGCGCAACCCUUGUCCCGUGUUGCCAGCAGGCCCUUGUGGUGCUGGGGACUCACGGGAGACCGCCGGGGUCAACUCGGAGGAAGGUGGGGACGACGUCAAGUCAUCAUGCCCCUUAUGUCUUGGGCUGCACACGUGCUACAAUGGCCGGUACAAUGAGCUGCGAUACCGCGAGGUGGAGCGAAUCUCAAAAAGCCGGUCUCAGUUCGGAUUGGGGU
rnacentral:rRNA from 1 species